GAGUUUGAUUCUGGCUCAGGACGAACGCUGGCGGCACGCUCAACACAUGCAAGUCGAACGGAGAAAAAUAGGCUUCGGUUGUDUUCUUAGUGGCGGACGGGUGAGUAACACGUGAGGAACCUGCCUCUGAGAGUGGGAUAACUUCUGGAAACGGAUGGUAAUACCGCAUAACAUAGCGAAACCGCAUGAUUUUGCUAUCAAAGUAUUUGGCNCAGAGAUGGCCUCGCGUCUGAGUAGAGAGUGGGUGAGGUAACGGCUCACCAAGUCGACGAUCAGUAGCCGGACUGAGAGGUUGAACGGCCACAUUGGGACUGAGACACGGCCCAGACUCCUACGGGAGGCAGCAGUGGGGGAUAUUGCACAAUGGGGGAAACCCUGAUGCAGCGAUGCCGCGUGGAGGAAGAAGGUUUUCGGAUUGUAAAGUCCUGUCGUAAGGGAAGAGGAAGGACUGUAGCCUUACAAGAAAGCUCCGGCUAACUACGUGCCAGCAGCCGCGGUAAUACCUCGGCUGCGCGCGCUGUCCGGAAUGACUGGGUGUAAAGGGAGCGUAGGCGGGAUGGCAACUCAGAGUCUGAAACCUGAGUGGCUCAACCUUCAGACUGCAUUUGAAACUGCUGUUCUUGUAGUGAAGUUAGAGGUAAGCGGAAUUCCUGGUGUAGGCGGUGAAUAUGCGUAGAGCUCAGGAGGAACAUCGGUGGCGAAGGCGGCUUACUGCGCUUUUACUGACGCUGAGGCUCGAAAGCGUGGGGCGCAAACAGGCUUAGAUACCCUGGUAGUCCACGCUGUAAACGAUGAUUACUAGGUGUGGGGGGAUUGACCCCUUCCGUGCCGCAGUUAACACAAUAAGUAAUCCACCUGGGGAGUACGACCGCAAGGUUGAAACUCAAAGGAAUUGCACGGGGGCCCGCACAAGCAGUGGAGUAUGUGGUUUAAUUCGACGCAACGCGAAGAACCUUACCAGGUCUUGACAUCGAGUGACGUAUCCAGAGAUGGAUAUCUCUUCGGGACACAAAAACAGGUGGUGCAUGGUUGUCGUCAGCUCGUGUCGUGAGAUGUUGGGUUAAGUCCCGCAACGGGCGCAACCCUUAUCAUUAGUNCUACGCAAGGGCACUCUAAUGAGACUGCCGUUGACAAAACGGAGGAAGGUGGGGAUGACGUCAAAUCAUCAUGCCCCUUAUGACCUGGGCUACACACGUACUACAAUGGCGUUCGAACAGAGGGAAGCAAGACAGCGAUGUGGAGCCAAUCCCAAAAAAUCGCCCCAGCUCCAGAAUGCAGGCUGCCACUCGCCUGCAUGAAGUCGGAAUUGCUAGUAAUCGCAGAUCAGCAUGCUGCGGUGAAUACGUUCCCGGGCCUUGUACACACCGCCCGUCACACCAUGGGAGUCGGUAACACCCAAAGCCGGUCGUCUAACUUCGGGAGGACGCCGUCUAAGGUGGGAUUGAUGACUGGGGUGAAGUCGUUACAAGGUAGCCGU
rnacentral:rRNA from 1 species